rnacentral:rRNA from 1 species
CGCAGCUAACGCAUUAAGUGCCCCGCCUGGGGAGUACGAUCGCAAGAUUAAAAACUCAAAGGAAUUGACGGGGCCCCGCACAAGCAGCGGAGCAUGCGGCUUAAUUCGACGCAACGCGAAGAACCUUACCAAGGCUUGACAUAUACAGGAAUAUGGCAGAAAUGUCAUAGCCGCAAGGUCUGUAUACAGGUGGUGCAUGGUUGUCGUCAGCUCGUGUCGUGAGAUGUUGGGUUAAGUCCCGCAACGAGCGCAACCCUCGUUCUGUGUUGCCAGCAUUUAGUUGGGGACUCACAGGAGACUGCCGGGGUUAACUCGGAGGAAGGUGGGGAUGACGUCAAAUCAUCAUGCCCCUUAUGUCUUGGGCUGCACGCAUGCUACAAUGGCUGGUACAAAGGGCUGCAAUACUGCAAAGUGGAGCGAAUCCCAAAAAGCCAGUCUCAGUUCGGAUUGGGGUCUGCAACUCGACCCCAUGAAGUCGGAGUUGCUAGUAAUCGUAGAUCAGCAACGCUACGGUGAAUACGUUCCCGGGGCUUGUACACACCGCCCGUCACAUCACGAAAGUCGGUAACACCCAAAGUCAAGUGGCCCAAACCGCAAGGAUGGGAUGCUGCCAAACGGUGGG